AAAUUGAAGAGUUUGAUCAUGGCUCAGAUUGAACGCUGGCGGCAGGCCUAACACAUGCAAGUCGAACGGUAACAGGAAGCAGCUUGCUGCUUUGCUGACGAGUGGCGGACGGGUGAGUAAUGUCUGGGAAACUGCCUGAUGGAGGGGGAUAACUACUGGAAACGGUGGCUAAUACCGC
rnacentral:rRNA from 8 species